rnacentral:rRNA from 1 species
UACCAAAAACAUCGCCUCCUGCAACAUAGAGUAUAGGAGGUCCAGCCUGCCCAGUGACUACGGGUUCAACGGCCGCGGUAUAUUGACCGUGCAAAGGUAGCGCAAUCACUUGUCUUUUAAAUAAAGACCUGUAUGAAUGGCUAGACGAGGGCUUAACUGUCUCCCCCCUCCAGUCAGUGAAAUUGAUCUAUCCGUGCAGAANNGGGUAUAAUUCUACAAGACGAGAAGACCCUUUGGAGCUUAAGGUACAAAGUUCAAUCACGUCAAGCAACUUGAUGAAAAGCCAGAACUUAGUGACUAUGAAACUUUCUUCGGUUGGGGCGACCACGGAGGAAAAGCAAGCCUCCGAGUGGACUGGGCCAAAACCCUAAAGCCAAUAGGAACAUCUUUAAGCCGCAGAACAUCUGACCAAUAAUGAUNNCCAAGAGGCCGAUCAACGAACCAAGUUACCCUAGGGAUAACAGCGCAAUCCUCUCCCAGAGCCCAUAUCGACGAGGGGGUUUACGACCUCGAUGUUGGAUCAGGACAUCCUGGUGGUGCAGCCGCUAUUAAGGGUUCGUNUG